rnacentral:lncRNA from 1 species
GGUAAAACUACCACACCUAUAAACCUGUCAGAACAGCAAUAUGAAACUAUUAUUUCAUUUGCUUCAUGCAUCAGUGUUGUGACACACAUCAGAGUAAUAGAAGAAACAGGCCUAAAAGAGGUAAAAUCAAGAUUGAAUUCAAAAACGUGUAUAUAUACAUGAAGAAAAAAGAAAAUGGCAUCGUGGACAAUUUAUUCAUCUAUCUGCUCUGCUGAGUCACCCUUGUAGCAAGCCUCAACUUUGUGUUCACUUUCAUGCGACCACCUCCGUAGAGACCAAGAUCACUUGAGCAUAUAUUAUAAAUUCAGGUAAGCUUUAUGCUGAACAUGGACUGCAAAAUAAUCUCUGGUCAAAUGAUAGCUAUUAUUUGAGCCAAUCAUACUCCUCAUACAGAAUUUUAGCUGAGAAGUAAAAGAACAAAUUAGAAUGGGCUAUAAAGUUGAUAUGUCUGGGAGACAGAAAGCAAGCAGGAGC